GCCUUCGUGGUGUAACGGUUAGCACACUCGGCUCAUAUUCGAGAGGUCCAGGUUCGAGUCCCGGCGAGGGCA
rnacentral:tRNA from 1 species